ensembl:lncRNA
GUCAAGAGUAGCCUCUCUCCAGUCUCCUGCCUUCUCUUUCAUUCACUUAAGCAAUGUCGGUUUAGUGCUUUGUUGUCUGACUCUGUCACUAAGUAUGACCACAGGCCCUAAAAUAUGAAGUCUUUGCUGUCAUUGUUGUUUAGUUGCUAAGUUGUGUCUGAUUCUUUCACAGCCCCAUAGACUGUAGCCUGCCAGACCCCUCAGUUCAUGGGAUUCUCUAGGCAAGAAUACUGGAGUGGGUUGCCAUUUCCUUCUCCAGGGGAUCUUUCUGACCCAGGGAUCAAACUUGCGUCUCCUGCAUUAGCAGGCAUAUUCUUUACCACUGAGCCACUUGAGAGAGCCGCAGCCUCCCCAGGAGACCCUCCAAGACCAGCAGGAAGAAGCAGAGACAUGAGGAAUGCACAUGCGCAAAAGACCACGAGAAGACACAGUGACGAGGCAGCCAUUGCAACACGAGAAGGGAGAGGUCUCAAGAGAAACCAAUCCUGCCAGCACCUUGACCUUGAAUUACCAACCUCCAGAACUGUGAGAAAAUAAACUUCUGUUGUUUAAGCAAAAAA